CUGGUACCUUGAUCUUGGACGUACCAGCCUCUAGAACUAGCUGAUCAAUACUUGCCCUGAGGAUCAACCACCACCACACCCGGCAGAAUGUUCCUGCAGCCUCUGUAGCACUCAACAAGGGCCCGCUGCGUCAUGAAUCAGGAGGUGAAGAACCGAAGACCCAGGAAAAAAUUCUGCCUCUGGGGAAAACUUGAACCCUAGGGAGAAUCUGAAAUAGGUCUUUCACGUCACCAUGACACAUGGGUUUCUCUGCACCAGGCCUUGAGCUCUGCUGAUCUGGGAUUAAUUUUCCGGUGCUCCCACUCCAAGGUAAGAGUGAGAAGAGACCUUCCUUUUUAGAACUCUUUUUAGAACUCACUC